AUUGAACGCUGGCGGCAGGCUUAACACAUGCAAGUCGAGCGGAGAUGAGGUGCUUGCACCUUAUCUUAGCGGCGGACGGGUGAGUAAUGCUUAGGAAUCUGCCUAUUAGUGGGGGACAACAUUCCGAAAGGAAUGCUAAUACCGCAUACGUCCUACGGGAGAAAGCAGGGGAUCUUCGGACCUUGCGCUAAUAGAUGAGCCUAAGUCGGAUUAGCUAGUUGGUGGGGUAAAGGCCUACCAAGGCGACGAUCUGUAGCGGGUCUGAGAGGAUGAUCGGCCACACUGGGACUGGGACACGGCCCAGGCUCCUACGGGAGGCAGCAGUGGGGAAUAUUGGACAAUGGGGGGAACCCUGAUCCAGCCAUGCCGCGUGUGUGAAGAAGGCCUUAUGGUUGUAAAGCACUUUAAGCGAGGAGGAGGCUACUGAGACUAAUACUCUUGGAUAGUGGACGUUACUCGCAGAAUAAGCACCGGCUAACUCUGUGCCAGCAGCCGCCGUAA
rnacentral:rRNA from 1 species